UACAGAGGAGCCAAGCGUUGUCCGGAUUGACUGGGCGUAAAGCGCACGCAGGCGGAUGCGCGCGUGGGGUGUGAAAUCUGGCCGCUUAACGGCCAGGCGCCAUCCCAUACGGCGCGUCUGGAGUGAUGCAGAGGUCGAUGGAAUUGCCGGUGUAGUGGUGAAAUGCGUAGAUAUCUGGAGGAACACCGGUGGCGAAGGCGGCGUCCUGGACCAACACUGACACUGAGGAGCGAAAGCCAGGGGAGCAAACGGG
rnacentral:rRNA from 1 species